rnacentral:rRNA from 1 species
UGGGGAAUAUAGGACAAUGGGCGCAAGCCUGAUCCAGCCAUGCCGCGUGAGUGAUGAAGGCCCUAGGGUUGUAAAGCUCUUUCACCGGUGAAGAUAAUGACGGUAACCGGAGAAGAAGCCCCGGCUAACUUCGUGCCAGCAGCCGCGGUAAUACGAAGGGGGCUAGCGUUGUUCGGAUUUACUGGGCGUAAAGCGCACGUAGGCGGACUUUUAAGUCAGGGGUGAAAUCCCGGGGCUCAACCCCGGAACUGCCUUUGAUACUGGAAGUCUUGAGUAUGGUAGAGGUGAGUGGAAUUCCGAGUGUAGAGGUGAAAUUCGUAGAUAUUCGGAGGAACACCAGUGGCGAAGGCGGCUCACUGGACCAUUACUGACGCUGAGGUGCGAAAGCGUGGGGAGCAAACAGG